rnacentral:rRNA from 1 species
UACGUAGGUGGCAAGCGUUGUCCGGAUUUACUGGGUGUAAAGGGCGUGCAGCCGGGGAUGCAAGUCAGAUGUGAAAUCCACAGGCUUAACUUGUGAACUGCAUUUGAAACUGCGUUUCUUGAGUGCUGGAGAGGUAAUCGGAAUUCCUUGUGUAGCGGUGAAAUGCGUAGAUAUAAGGAAGAACACCAGUGGCGAAGGCGGAUUACUGGACAGUAACUGACGGUGAGGCGCGAAAGCGUGGGGAGCAAAC